rnacentral:rRNA from 1 species
UAAGGAAUAUUGGUCAAUGGACGCAAGUCUGAACCAGCCAUGCCGCGUGAAGGAUGAAGGUCUUCUGGAUUGUAAACUUCUUUUAUCUGGGACGAAAACGGGAUUUUUAUCUCAAUUGACGGUACCAGAGGAAUAAGCACCGGCUAACUCCGUGCCAGCAGCCGCGGUAAUACGGAGGGUGCGAGCGUUAUCCGGAUUUACUGGGUUUAAAGGGUGCGUAGGUGGGCUUAUAAGUCAGCGGUGAAAUCUCCGAGCUUAACUUGGAAACUGCCGUUGAUACUAUAGGUCUUGAAUUAUCUGGAGGUAAGCGGAAUAUGUCAUGUAGCGGUGAAAUGCUUAGAUAUGACAUAGAACACCAAUUCCGAAGGCAGCUUACUACACAAUCAUUGACGCUGAGGCACGAAAGCGUGGGGAUCAAACA